rnacentral:rRNA from 1 species
CGGGACGGGGUGAGUAAUGUCCGGGAAACUGCCUGAUGGAGGGGGAUAACUGCUGGAAACGGUAGCUAAUACCGCAUAACGUCGCAAGACCAAAGAGGGGGACCUUCGGGCCUCUUGCCAUCGGAUGUGCCCAGAUGGGAUUAGCUAGUAGGUGGGGUAACGGCUCACCUAGGCGACGAUCCCUAGCUGGUCUGAGAGGAUGGCCAGCCACACUGGAACUGAGACACGGUCCAG